GACGAACGCUGGCGGCGUGCCUAAUACAUGCAAGUAGAACGCACAGUUUAUACCGUAGCUUGCUACACCAUAGACUGUGAGUUGCGAACGGGUGAGUAACGCGUAGGUAACCUGCCUGGUAGCGGGGGAUAACUAUUGGAAACGAUAGCUAAUACCGCAUAAUAUUGAUUAUUGCAUGAUAAUUGAUUGAACGAUGCUAUUGCAUCACUACCAGAUGGACCUGCGUUGUAUUAGCUAGUAGGUGAGGUAACGGCUCACCUAGGCGACGAUACAUAGCCGACCAGAGAGGGUGAUCGGCCACACUGGGACUGAGACACGGCCCAGACUCCUACGGGAGGCAGCAGUAGGGAAUCUUCGGCAAUGGACGAAAGUCUGACCGAGCAACGCCGCGUGAGGGAAGAAGGUUUUCGGAUCGUAAAGCUCGGUUGUAAGAGAAGAACGGGUGUGAGAGUGGAAAGUUCACACUGUGACGGUAUCUUACCAGAAAGGGACGGCUAACUACGUG
rnacentral:rRNA from 1 species